GAUGAACGCUGGCGGCGUGCCUAAUACAUGCAAGUCGAGCGAACAGACGAGGAACUUGCUCCUCUGACGUUAGCGGCGGACGGGCGAGUAACACGUGGAUAACCUACCUAUAAGACUGGGAUAACUUCGGGAAACCGGAGCUAAUACCGGAUAAUAUAUUGAACCGCAUGGUUCAAUAGUGAAAGAGGGUUUUGCUGUCACUGAUUGAUGGAUCCGCGCCGCAUUAGCUAGUUGGUAAGGUAACGGCUUACCAAGGCAACGAUGCGUAGCCGACCUGGGAGGGUGAUCGGCCACACUGGAACUGAGACACGGUCCAGACUCCUACGGGAGGCAGCAGUAGGGAAUCUUCCGCGAUGGGCGAAAGCCUGACGGAGCAACGCCGCGUGAGUGAUGAAGGUCUUCGGAUCGUAAAACUCUGUUAUUAGGGAAGAACAAAUGUGUAAGUAACUAUGCACGUCUUGACGGUACCUAAUCAGAAAGCCACGGCUAACUACGUG
rnacentral:rRNA from 1 species